rnacentral:rRNA from 1 species
GACGGGGGGUCCUAGCGUUGUUCGGAAUCAUUGGGCGUAAAGCGUGUGCAGGUGGCUUUAUAAGUUAGAUGUGAAAUCCUUGGGCUCAACCCAAGAAGUGCAUUUAAAACUAUAUGGCUUGAGUAUGGAAGAGGGUCGUGGAAUUCCUGGUGUAGUGGUGAAAUACGUAGAUAUCAGGAGGAACACCGGCGGCGAAGGCGGCGACCUGGUCCAAUACUGACACUCAUACACGAAAGCGUGGGGAUCAAACAGG